rnacentral:rRNA from 1 species
AUUGAACGCUGGCGGCAGGCUUAACACAUGCAAGUCGAGCGGAGUGAUGGUGCUUGCACUAUUACUUAGCGGCGGACGGGUGAGCAAUGCUUAGGAAUCUGCCAUUUAGUGGGGGACAACAUUCCGAAAGGAAUGCUAAUACCGCAUACGUCCUACGGGAGAAAGCAGGGGAUCUUCGGACCUUGCGCUAAAUGAUGAGCCUAAGUCGGAUUAGCUAGUUGGUGGGGUAAAGGCCUACCAAGGCGACGAUCUGUAGCGGGUCUGAGAGGAUGGUCCGCCAUACUGGGACUGAGACACGGCCCAGACUCCUACGGGAGGCAGCAGUGGGGAAUAUUGGACAAUGGGCGGAAGCCUGAUCCAGCCAUGCCGCGUGUGUGAAGAAGGCCUUUUGGUUGUAAAGCACUUUAAGCGAGGAGGAGGCUCUCCUAGUUAAUACCUAGGAAGAGUGGACGUUACUCGCAGAAUAAGCACCGGCUAACUCUGUGCCAGCCGCCGCCGUAAGAC